ensembl:lncRNA
GUGAUUUGUUAAUUAAAGCCUCUUUUGUUCACUGGCUCAUUCAUUAUUCUCUAUUUCAGAACAGCUGUUUACACAGCAUUGGAUUUCAAGUCUGAAGAAAUAAAAAACAGGAAAGCUAUGAUGCUCUGGGACAGAAUCAUCUGAAUGCCAACCAUCUGCACUGCAUAUCAAGUCUCAAAAUGCCUAUGAAUCAAGAUAAGAACAUGACUUUACAUGAGACCCAUUUGUACUUUGUGUGCGAGUCACUGAAGGUGCAGAUCACAGAAACUAUGCAAAUUCCAAGGUCAAGUGAGUUUUUACAGCAAUCAAAAUGGGAAAUGUGA